GCAGGUCAUUGAGAUCCUUGAGCUGGUCAAGAGAGAAUUAAGUGGAGAAUCUACUAUACUGUCGUGAUAUGCUCCAUAUCAAGAUCUCCUUCCUGUAGAGAGUGACAAUCUGAGCUGGUACAAUGUACAUUUACUGGGUAGUUGUAGCAGAAGUGGGCCUUAUCAUAGACCCGUAGAUAAGGCAUGAGCCUUUUUUUGUAGCGGGCAAACAAGGAACGUCAAGAACCUGAGAGAGAUUUCUGGUUUGCCUCUAGUUAAGUUUAGUCUUUUUCAUCAACUUAUGCCGUCUUGUACAUGAUAGUACCAUGUAAAUCUUUUGGCCGUUUAGUUCAAUUUAUUGGACCAGGCUCA